AGGCUCCAGUACCGGGAUGAUGGGAGCAGCCCUGAGGCAGGGGGUGCUCCGGGUCCCCGCUGCCCCCAGCACCCAGGGGGAUGGGGAGGGUCCCCUUGCCGUGCUGAGCGCUCCCUGUGCCCCGUGCAGAGCCCCUCGCCGGCCGGCUCCCUGGUGGAUGCCAUGUCCCAGAAGCACCUGCAGAUCAACCAGACCUUCGAGGAGCUGCGGCUCAUCACGCAGGACUCUGAGAACGAGCUCAAGAAGCUGCAGCAGACGCAGGAGUACUUCAUCAUCCAGUACCAGGAGAACAUGCGCCUCCAAGCCCAGUUCUCCCAGCUCUCCCAGCUGGGUCCCCAGGAGCGCCUGUCGCGGGAGACGACGCUGCAGCAGAAGAAAGCGUCGCUGGAGGCUUGGCUGCACCGGGAGGCCCAGACACUACAGCAGUACCGUGUGGACCUGGCCGAGAAGCACCAGAAGACGCUGCAGCUGCUGCGCAAGCAGCAGACGACCAUACUGGAUGAUGAGCUGAUCCAGUGGAAGCGUCGGCAGCAGCUAGCGGGAAACGGGGGUCCCCCUGAGGGCACCCUGGACGUGCUGCAGAGCUGGUGGGUGCUGGCGCCGGCCG
rnacentral:lncRNA from 1 species